rnacentral:snRNA from 1 species
AUAGUAGAUUGGCUGGGUUGAUAGUAUGAUCAGGAAGGUGAUUUUUCUAUGACUAUAUUUGUCUAUUGUAUUUCAGAUGUUUUGCCCCCUGAAAUUUGUUCCAAUAUAAGAAAUCUUAUGCAUAAUUUCUGGUAGUGGAGAACUAAAUUCAGUUUCCU